UGGGGAAUUUUGGACAAUGGGCGCAAGCCUGAUCCAGCAAUGCCGCGUGAGUGAAGAAGGCCUUCGGGUUGUAAGGCUCUUUUGUCAGGGAAGAAAAGGCGGGGGCUAAUAUCCUCUGCCGAUGACGGUACCUGAAGAAUAAGCACCGGCUAACUACGUGCCAGCAGCCGCGGUAAUACGUAGGGUGCAAGCGUUAAUCGGAAUUACUGGGCGUAAAGCGUGCGCAGGCGGUUGUGCAAGACAGAUGUGAAAUCCCCGGGCUCAACCUGGGAAUUGCAUUUGUGACUGCACGGCUAGAGUGUGUCAGAGGGGGGUAGAAUUCCACGUGUAGCAGUGAAAUGCGUAGAGAUGUGGAGGAAUACCGAUGGCGAAGGCAGCCCCCUGGGAUAACACUGACGCUCAUGCACGAAAGCGUGGGGAGCAAACAGGAUUAGAUACCCUGGUAGUCCACGCCCUAAACGAUGUCUACUAGUUGUCGGGUCUUAAUUGACUUGGUAACGCAGCUAACGCGUGAAGUAGACCGCCUGGGGAGUACGGUCGCAAGAUUAA
rnacentral:rRNA from 1 species